UCCAUAGCUUCUGAGUCGCAAUCCACUGCUAAAGCAAUAGCAUCUUCUGAGCUUUCACGAAUGGCUGACUGCACUAGAUCAUAAACUUUAUUCAUAGCAUUUUGUUUGUGUUUCCAUUUAUACUUUCUAUCAUUAACGUCUUUAAGCGAGAUCAACUGUACGUCGAGGUUGGAUUGAGAGGUGUCAACGAACUUUGCAACAUCUUGUUGAGCUGAGUCUAAUAUACGUUUCGACUGUAACAUGCUUUCGUUUCUUUUUCUUUCAUUAAUUUCUCCCAGCAACCACAUCCCAACUUCAUCAAAGCGUAUUUCGUCAUCUUCAUUUUUUAAAAUAUUUCGAGCCUUGACUGAAUGUUCCAUCUGGGUAUUUUUCUGACGCACGACGAGAACCCAAUUAAUGCCUUCACUUCGAUAGUGUGUUACAAUCUCUUCUAAACUGCUAGCACCCCUUAAAACUAUAUCCGCUUGGAUAUUUAAAGCCCAAAGCUCUUGCAAAAGUGAGCAUUUUUCUAGGAUUGAAUCCUUGCCAAUACUAGUAACUAAGACAUCAACUCUCCUUGGUGCCCAAGGGCCUACAGACUUUAAAGUUGGUGAA